AGAGUUUGAUCCUGGCUCAGGAUGAACGCUGGCGGCGUGCCUAACACAUGCAAGUCGAACGGACUUACAUUGAAGCCUAGCGAUAUGUAAGUUAGUGGCGGACUGGUGAGUAACGCGUGAGGAACCUGCCUUCCAGAGGGGGACAACAGUUGGAAACGACUGCUAAUACCGCAUGAUAUAUUUGAGGGGCAUCCCUUGGAUAUCAAAGAUUAUAUCGCUGGAAGAUGGCCUCGCGUCUGAUUAGCUAGAUGGUGGGUAACGGCCACCAUGGCGACGAUCAGUAGCCGGACUGAGAGGUUGACCGGCCACAUUGGGACUGAGAUACGGCCCAGACUCCGUACGGGAGCA
rnacentral:rRNA from 1 species